UAAGGUAUAGUGUUCAUUGCACGGGAGUUUUUGGUACUCUAAGAGGGCAGUGCCUGCUCUACCUUAG
rnacentral:tRNA from 1 species